rnacentral:rRNA from 1 species
AGAGUUUGAUCCUGGCUCAGAUUGAACGCUGGCGGCAUGCCUUACACAUGCAAGUCGAACGGCAGCACGGGAGCUUGCUCCUGGUGGCGAGUGGCGAACGGGUGAGUAAUGCAUCGGAACGUGCCCUGAAGUGGGGGAUAACGUAGCGAAAGUUACGCUAAUACCGCAUAUUCUGUGAGCAGGAAAGCAGGGGAUCUUCGGACCUUGCGCUUUUGGAGCGGCCGAUGUCGGAUUAGCUAGUUGGUGGGGUAAAGGCCUACCAAGGCGACGAUCCGUAGCGGGUCUGAGAGGAUGAUCCGCCACACUGGGACUGAGACACGGCCCAGACUCCUACGGGAGGCAGCAGUGGGGAAUUUUGGACAAUGGGCGGAAGCCUGAUCCAGCCAUGCCGCGUGAGUGAAGAAGGCCUUCGGGUUGUAAAGCUCUUUCGGCGGGGAAGAAAUUGCACGGGUUAAUACCCUGUGUAGAUGACGGUACCCGAAUAAGAAGCACCGGCUAACUACGUG